rnacentral:rRNA from 1 species
GACGAACGCUGGCGGCGUGCCUAAUACAUGCAAGUCGAGCGGUCCCUUCGGGGAUAGCGGCGGACGGGUGAGUAACACGUAGGCAACCUGCCUGUAAGACCGGAAUAACUAUCGGAAACGAUAGCUAAGACCGGAUAGCUGGUUUUCUCGCAUGAGAGAAUCAUGAAACACGGGGCAACCUGUGGCUUACAGGUGGGCCUGCGGCGCACUAGCUAGUUGGUAGGGUAACGGCCUACCAAGGCGACGAUGCGGAGCCGACCUGAGAGGGUGACCGGCCACACUGGGACUGAGACACGGCCCAGACUCCUACGGGAGGCAGCAGUAGGGAAUCUUCCGCAAUGGACGCAAGUCUGACGGAGCAACGCCGCGUGAGUGAUGAAGGUCUUCGGAUCGUAAAGCUCUGUUGCCCUAGACGAACAGCAAGGAGAGUAACUGCUCUUUGUGUGACGGUAUAGGAGAAGAAAGCCCCGGCUAACUACGUGCCAGCAGCCGCCGUAA